rnacentral:lncRNA from 1 species
GAAUAUGAUGAGAAUUAUUGUCGCCCCAGUCUUAUGAGCUUUGUAACUUUGCAUAGCUCUAUGGUGAUAGACAUAUUUAAUAAUCUGAUUCACUUUCAUUUAUUCUUAUUUUUUUAUAUUUAUUUUAUUAAAUUUAUUAAAUUUGGAGUUGAUUUAUAUUGCAUUUGAUUGGUGUGAUGAUGUAUUUACCCAAUUUUUUCUGCACUGUUUGAAUGAUGAUCUAUAAUACAUGCACUACCAUCUGAUCUUUCAAUUGCAAUAAAUCAUUUCCAUUUUAUUUUUCUUAUAUCCCAAAUUUUUUAAAUAAAUUGGUUUUUAUUUUAUUAUUUAAAAAUAAAAAUACAGUUAUUGCAAUCGAUGAUGCAAUGAAAUUAUUUACACUGAUGUUUUACUGUGAUUAACAUAAAUUUAUCACCAUCUUUCGACUGAGAUUGCACUUUUUUAUUUAAAAAAUAUAUAUAUUUUUUAG